AUUCAACGUACAUGAGGCAGCUAAAAAUAGCUCUAUAUUAAUUUAUGCAAUGUGUUAUUAUCAUGGUUAUGUAAAUUACAAUCCAUGUGAAGUUUUUUUUUGACAAAAUAUUUGUAUACUUUAAUGAAAUAAUUUGUUUCUUUCAUUUUCUUACAGCAAUGAUUGAUAGUGUAGGUGGGCCGGUGAGGGUCAACAAUUUGUUGUCAACACUAAAUAUACCAACAAUUGGAAAUAAAAACAUGAAAAGAAAUGGAGAGACGUGUUGGAAAAUAUCAUUGAGACAGCACUGGCUUCUAUGCCGACAGAAUCUGCUGCAUAAGAUCAAGGAAAUGGAGGAUGUGCAUCAUGAAGAACCAAUGGUAUCAGAACACAACAUCAUGGAAGAUCUUAUUGACAAGAUCUCGGAGGAUGUCCUUUGCCAGAUGUUUGCCAGCACUAAAGUCUAUUCAUCAGUCAAAUGCUACAGUUACAAAUGACAGUGAAUGGUCAGAUUUAUACAAUUGUGAUUAACAAUCCUCAACAAUACAUCAAACAAAAAUGCCUAUUAAACUUUCUCACAGACAGUCAAAGGUUGAAAACAAAUCAGAAGUGGUCCACAUCUUAAAAAACCUCACAGCAGAUUAAGACUUUCCCCGAAAUUUCCCUGUAAAACCCGCAGUGGUAUGUCCAGUGCAGUAGAUACUGCUGGCACAAAAGAGGAUUUGACAGUUUAACAUUGUACUGCACCAAUAAACUAAAUAUGGAGAGAAGCUUAGUCACCAAAGCAGUCAACACCAAAAUACACACAAUGGCCAGGGCACUGAAACUUGGAAGAGUGAAAGAGUAAAGUAGUGCGUUUUUAGCUAACAAAGUGACAUUGCAAGCUUUUGUCUAUCUUUCGUCCGUAAACUUGAUCUUUAAACAACAUCUCAUAAAUUGCCAAGCCAAUUUCAUGCAAACCUACGAUAUUGUCUAGUCAGUUUUUGUUUUGCUUGCAAUCGCUAUAUGACAUGACUAAAGACAUUUAGUUUUAUUCUUAAGUUAUUAUGUUUAUGUUUGUAUAAGACCAAAAUAUAUUGUUAAGAUUCAUUUUUACAAAUUUGAAAGCCACUAUUGUUCUAGUCAGUUUUUGUUUUGCUUGCAAUCAUUAUAUUACAUGGCUAAAGACAAUUAGUUUUAAUCUUUAAUAGUUAUGUCUAUAUUUGUAUAAGACCCAAAAAUAUUGUUAAAAUUCAUUUUUACAAUUUUGAAAGCCAUUAAAGCUCUAGUUUGUUUUUGUUUUGCUUGAAAUUGUUAUAUGACAUGACUAAAGACAUUUAGUUUAAAUCUUUAGUUAUUAUGUCUAUGAGGGGCAUCCGUGGCCGAGUGGUUAAGGUCAUUGACUUCAAACCACUUGCCCCUCACCGCUGUGGGUUGGAAUCCCGACAGGGACUUUGGAAUCUGUCUUGUGAGGAAGCUAUCCAGCUAGCUUAACUGAACGUCAGUGGUUCUACUCAGAUACCCGUUCGUGCCUGAAAUAAUGCAAGGAAGGGCACCUGAACGUCACGAUAUGACCUUUACUGUGUUGAUGUGACGUAAAAACCCAAAACAAGCAAACAAAAAAUUAUGUCUAUGAAAUUCGUUGUUUGUAUAAGACCCAAAUAUAUUGUUGUGAUUAAUUUUAACAAUUUUGAAAGCCAUAAUUGUUCGUGUCAGAUAUUGUUUUGCUCACAAUCAUAAUGUUAUAUGACAUAUGAGUUUAAAUCUGAAGGUAUUAUGUCCAUGAAAAUAUGUUGUUUUGUUUAAGACCAAAAUAUAUUUUUGAGAUUCAUUUUUACAAUUUUGAAAGCCAUUAUUGGUCUAGUCUGUUUUUGCAUAACACAUAACGCUAUUGUUAGUAUUUAUUGUUAUUAAUAGUGAUUUGUCUAAGUGGAUGUCGAAGUAUGUAUGUUAAUCCAUGCCAGUUCAUGUUUGAAUGAAACUUUUUGUCCAGAUAGAAGAUUUCAAACUGUAACUUUUCUGAUUUUUAUCUUUUACAACAAUAUUAUAUUUCCCAUUUAUGGUGCUAAGAAAUACUGCAACAUGUGCUGAAUAAUAGCUAUUGUCAAACAUUGUUUAUAUGCUCCCCGAAAAAUUUCGGCGGACCAUAUAGUCAUUGGGUUGUCUGUCCGUCUGUCUGUACGUACAUACGAACCUGAGUUCGUGUC